rnacentral:rRNA from 1 species
GAUGAACGCUGGCGGCGUGCUUAACACAUGCAAGUCGAACGUGAGGGGGUAGCAAUAUCCCUGAAAGUGGCGCACGGGUGAGUAAUACGUAGGUAACCUGCCCUGGAGUGGGGGAUAACAGCUGGAAACGGCUGCUAAUACCGCAUGAGGCCGAGACACUGGGAAGUGUUUUUGGCGAAAAACUCUGGUGCUUCAGGAGGGGCCUGCGGCCGAUUAGCUAGUUGGCGGGGUAAGAGCCCACCAAGGCAGUGAUCGGUAGCUGGUCUGGAGAGGACGAUCA